rnacentral:rRNA from 1 species
AUUGAACGCUGGCGGCAUGCUUUACACAUGCAAGUCGAACGGUAACAGGUUAAGCUGACGAGUGGCGAACGGGUGAGUAAUGCAUCGGAACGUGCCCGAUCGUGGGGGAUAACGCAGCGAAAGCUGCGUUAAUACCGCAUACGAUCUGAGGAUGAAAGCGGGGGACCGUAAGGCCUCGCGCGAUCGGAGCGGCCGAUGUCAGAUUAGGUAGUUGGUGGGGUAAAGGCCCACCAAGCCGACGAUCUGUAGCUGGUCCGAGAGGACGACCGGCCACACUGGGACUGAGACACGGCCCAGACUCCUACGGGAGGCAGCAGAGGGGAAUUUUGGACAAUGGGCGAAAGCCUGAUCCAGCAAUGCCGCGUGCAGGAAGAAGGCCUUCGGGUUGUAAACUGCUUUUGUACGGAGCGAAAAGGUCCUUUCUAAUACAAGGGGCUCAUGACGGUACCGUAAGAAUAAGCACCGGCUAACUACGUGCCAGCAGCCGCCGUAA